rnacentral:misc_RNA from 1 species
UUCAGGAUUUGUUAUUUUUAGCUUUGGUACUAGCAACCCCCUCUAACUCCCCCUUGUGUUGGUUUCGUAAACUUCAAUGAUUCAGCGAUAAAGGGGGAGAACCAUCUUUGGUGCUGUAAUUACAACGAUCACAAUACAGUUCCUCCCCUUGAGCGAGGAGCUAAUGAGAUUAGUAAUGUUGAUAUAAGGGGAGGUUAGGGGGGGGGGGGCUAAGGAAUAACUAGGGACGAGAUGCGAGAACGGACUUCGUCCUUCGAGGGGCGAGUAAAAGCGUUGUUGUUUGUCUAAAAAUUUGAAACCGUAGGUGUUGAUGCACCUGCGGUUUUUUUUGGAAACUAGAAACUAUACGCUG